rnacentral:misc_RNA from 1 species
UACGAAGGGUGCAAGCGUUAAUCGGAAUUACUGGGCGUAAAGGGAGCGUAGGCGGCUCUUUAAGUCGGAUGUGAAAUCCCUGGGCUCAACCUGGGAACUGCAUCCGAUACUGGAGGGCUUGGAGUUUGAGAGAGGAUGGUGGAAUUCCUGGUGUAGCGGUGAAAUGCGUAGAGAUCAGGAGGAACACUAGUGGCGAAGGCGGCCAUCUGGCUCAAAACUGACGCUGAGGCUCGAAAGCGUGGGGAGCAAACAGG